rnacentral:rRNA from 1 species
ACAUCCAGCGAACUUGGCAGAGAUGCCUUGGUGCCUUCGGGAACGCUGAGACAGGUGCUGCAUGGCUGUCGUCAGCUCGUGUUGUGAAAUGUUGGGUUAAGUCCCGCAACGAGCGCAACCCUUUAUCCUUUGUUGCCAGCGAUUCGGUCGGGAACUCAAAGGAGACUGCCGGUGAUAAACCGGAGGAAGGUGGGGAUGACGUCAAGUCAUCAUGGCCCUUACGAGUAGGGCUACACACGUGCUACAAUGGCGCAUACAAAGAGAAGCGACCUCGCGAGAGCAAGCGGACCUCAUAAAGUGCGUCGUAGUCCGGAUCGGAGUCUGCAACUCGACUCCGUGAAGUCGGAAUCGCUAGUAAUCGUGGAUCAGAAUGCCACGGUGAAUACGUUCCCGGGCCUUGUACACACCGCCCGUCACACCAUGGGAGUGGGUUGCAAAAGAAGUAGGUAGCUUAACCUCCGGGAGGGCGCUUACCACUUUGUGAUUCAUGACUGGGGUGAAGUCGUAACAAGGUAAGCGUAGCGAG